rnacentral:tRNA from 1 species
GCCUCGGUGGUGGAAUUGGUAUACACGCACGACUCAAAAUCGUGUGGAGAAAUCCAUGAGAGUUCGAGUCUCUCCCGAGGCA